GACGAACGCUGGCGGCGUGCUUAACACAUGCAAGUCGAACGGAAAGGCCCUGCUUUUGUGGGGUGCUCGAGUGGCGAACGGGUGAGUAACACGUGAGUAACCUGCCCUUGACCUUGGGACAACUUCAGGAAACUGGGGCUAAUACCGGAUAGGAGCUCCUGCUGCAUGGUGGGGGUUGGAAAGUUUCGGCGGUUGGGGAUGGACUCGCGGCUUAUCAGCUUGUUGGUGGGGUAGUGGCUUACCAAGGCUUUGACGGGUAGCCGGCCUGAGAGGGUGACCGGCCACAUUGGGACUGAGAUACGGCCCAGACUCCUACGGGAGGCAGCAGUGGGGAAUAUUGCACAAUGGGCGGAAGCCCGAUGCAGCAACGCCGCGUGCGGGAUGACGGCCUUCGGGUUGUAAACCGCUUUCGCCUGUGACGAAGCGUGAGUGACGGUAAUGGGUAAAGAAGCACCGGCUAACUACGUG
rnacentral:rRNA from 1 species